rnacentral:tRNA from 1 species
GUAGCCUAGUGGACAUGGCAUCUGCCCGGUAAGCGGAACGUUGUGGGUUCGAUUCCCGCCCCUGGACA